rnacentral:rRNA from 1 species
UAAUACCCAAUCCUGACACAGGGAGGUAGUGACAAGAAAUAACAAUACAGGGCAAUUGUCUUGUAAUUGGAAUGAUGGUGACGUAAAAUCUCACCAGAGUAACAAUUGGAGGGCAAGUCUGGUGCCAGCAGCCGCGGUAAUUCCAGCUCCAAUAGCGUAUAUUAAACUUGUUGCAGUUAAAAAGCUCGUAGUUGAAUUUCUGCGUUGCCCGACUCGGCUACUUGCCUUGUCUGGUUUCGCUUUUGGGGUUUUCCCCUUUUUACUUUGAGAAAAUUAGAGUGUUUCAAGCAGACUUGUGUCUUGAAUACUUCAGCAUGGAAUAAUAAAGUAGGACUUUGGUUCUAUUUUGUUGGUUUGUGAACCUUAGUAAUGGUUAAUAGGAACGGUUGGGGGCAUUCCGUAUUUAAA